GGGCCCGCACAAGCAGCGGAGCAUGUGGUUUAAUUCGACGCAACGCGAAGAACCUUACCAGGUCUUGACAUCGAACUAAAGCGCUAGAGAUAGCGUGUCCCUUCGGGGGAGCGAAGACAGGUGGUGCAUGGUUGUCGUCAGCUCGUGUCGUGAGAUGUUGGGUUAAGUCCCGCAACGAGCGCAACCCUUGUAGUCAGUUACUAACGCGCAAUGGCGAGGACUCUGACGAGACUGCCGGGGACAACUCGGAGGAAGGUGGGGACGACGUCAAAUCAUCAUGCCCCUUAUGACCUGGGCUACACACGUGCUACAAUGGCCGCAACAAAGAGGAGCGAACACGCAAGUGGGAGCAGAUCUUAGAAAAGCGGUCUCAGUUCAGAUCGUGGGCUGCAACCCGCCACGUGAAGUCGGAGUUGCUAGUAAUCGCGAAUCAGCAUGUCG
rnacentral:rRNA from 1 species